UCACUUUUAUUCAUUAAAUUUAUAUUACUAUCGUAUAAUAACAUGUUUAAUACACGCUAAUAUAGGUAUCUAUACUAUUAACACCGUAUUCACUCGUUUAAGCGACGCAUACGUUAUUUUUUUAAAAACAAAUCGGCAUUUAAUUGAAGCACUGGCAGCUAGAAAUGUUAGAGAAGUUUUGUUUUACAAAUUACAGCAAUUCAAUCUUCAACCGGCCUCGAAUUUUUUUUUCCUCUUGUUUUACAGUGUCCUCUCAGUAAAUAUGUUUUAUUUAACUUGAAAAUGUGAAUUUCCCUUGCAAAGGCAGUCAAAUUUGCAUGGACAACAAGCCCAUGCAUAAAGAGGGCCGCCCUCAAAAAACAAAAAGCGCCGCAUCAGAAAUACUAAAAAUGUAAUGAGCGCCAUAGCGCUGGAACGAGCAAAUAGGCGGUAAGGUGUAAACAUAAUAUCCUUAGUUGAGUUCAUAACUCCAGGUAGAACAUUGGAAUAUGUUUUAAAUGUCAAUACCACCACGUACAGUAUAUCUGGAGACUUUAGGCUGGUCUCACGUGUUUACCCCUCAGGUUUUGACAACCGAAAAUUGCACUUCCCAAACUCACAUGACCAAACCAGUGGAAUAAAAUAUAAAAUGGAGGAACUCUGAAUAAAUCGAUACCUUGAAUUUUAUUUCAUUUUAAACGGAAGCUCAAAUGCGGCUUCGAAGCAUUUUGAAUAAAUUUUGCCUAAUAUUUUGAAAUUAAUAUAAUUUAGUAUCACGUGUCUAUUAGACAGAUUUAGAAAAGACGACGCGACCUCAAAGACGACGUGGAUGGCGUCAUUUGGCGCCAACUAUCGUCAGCUUCUGAUUUGCCACGUCACAGAGUAGAUAAGACAUACAGAGACGUAACUGACCGUUGUAAACACUGCGGAAGAUUACGUUAUCAUGUACCCACUUUUUUUCAGGCGACCGGGCGAAAAAUUAUCAACUGCGCGUGC